rnacentral:rRNA from 1 species
UACGGAGGGUGCAAGCGUUAAUCGGAAUUACUGGGCGUAAAGCGCGCGUAGGCGGUUUUUUAAGUCGGAUGUGAAAGCCCCGGGCUCAACCUGGGAACUGCAUCCGAUACUGGAAGACUAGGAUGCGGGAGAGGGAGGUAGAAUUCCAUGUGUAGCAGUGAAAUGCGUAGAUAUAUGGAGGAAUACCAGUGGCGAAGGCGGCCUCCUGGCUCGACAUUGACGCUGAGGUGCGAAAGCGUGGGGAGCAAACGGG